GCCAGGUACUGUGCUAAAUGAUGGGGCUGCAGAAAUCAAAGCAAAAAGCAAAUGUGUGGCCCUCAGGAGCCUGUGGUCUACUGAGGAAGACAAAAAGUCAAACUGUGAAUGACAACACAGUGCCAGCACUCCACGGCGAAGACCACAAGGGUGCUGUGGAAUUACACCAGAGGAGCAGCGCCUAACUUAGACUAGAGAGAGGACAGUUAUUAGAGAGAUGGUCAGAAAAAGCUGCUCAGAGGAGAUUCUGUCCAAAAUGAGUCUUGUAGGCUGGGUAGGUAAGUCAAGUGAAGGAGAAGGCUAUGCAAACAGAGAAAGCAACAACAGCAAAGAGAAAGAGCAGGGGUUAGCACAGAUGGAACUCACAGAACACUGGGGCUGGGAAAGGUGAAGCCCCAAGCAAACGGUCAACCGCUUGUAAGGAGUUGAGAAUUUAUCCUGAAGGUGACAGCGGGCCAGGGAAGAAAUUUCAGAAUGCAAGACCAUCAAGGCAAGGAUGUUAAUUUUCUUCAAUGAGGUAUCUCCUGUGUCUGGAAUGAUAUAAGGCUCAUCCCAGAUGAUGAAUGAACAGUGAAUCUGUGGAGCUUCAGCAUCCUCACCUAAGAUGGGAAUAGCUAUGCCCAUCUCCCGAGAUUAUUGUGGAGAUCAGAUGUUAUGCGUACAAAGCACAGGGCAUGAUACCUGAUACACAUCUUGCUCUAUAAAGACUGGUAGAGGAGUGUGUUGUUAUUGUUAUCAAUAUCAUUAUCAUUUUUAUCCAUAAAAUGAAGAUUAUAAAACCUAAGUUGCUGUGAAUAUUGAGACAAAGUAUGAAAAGUACCUGGCAACUGGAGAUGUUUAAUAAACUGGAAUUUAUUUUCUCUUUUCUGCUGGGAUUAAUGCCUGCAAGAGCAGGAUGCCCCAGAGCAAGACACUGUCCAAAGCAAGGCCCCCUGGGCAAUCUCCUUUUCAUUGACACUCCUAUCUCUAACCCUGGAGCCUGCUACAGAGAAUUAAGGUAUCUGCUCAAUCCUUCUUGCCAUAAUUGAUAUCCAUGGCCUUGACCCAGUUCCCCCUGAGAACUCUUCCCUUCUAGGCCUGUCUGCUCACAACUCACAGUAUCUGCUGGAAUCCUCCCAUUCAUCUAGUUCCUGGGCUCGACUCCUUCUGUUCAGCCCUCAUUGCAACCUAAGACCCACCAGCAGAGGUAUCCAUGAUGCCAACAGGAAAAGCCAAGUCUGCUAAGCCAUCUGCAUGGUGCCCAGCUUGACACUCUGACAUGUGAAAUUCUUCCUGUAGAACAUUCCACUGCCUUAUCCCUCCCAAACAUCUGAAAUCCUAGCUUUGGGUGGGUUUCAUCAUGGGGUAGGAUGGAAAGGGCUUUGAGCUGGGAUUCUAAUCUUGGCUUUUCCCACAAACAGUUGUAUAGUCUAGGGGAAGAUCAUUUAACAUCAGUUUCCUUAGAUGUCUAGGAAGUGCCUGGUAUCCUCACCAGAGUGUAUCUUGAUACACAUAAUCAAACCCCAACAACAACUGGGAAGGCUUAAAAAUUAUUCCACAAUGUGUGAGUAUUCUACCAAUGAUCUCCACCCAAGGAAACUGGGAGAAGGGUGUUGUUCCCUGAUGUUCCCAGGGUGGGGAUUUGUAGGGAUCAAGUGUGGUUAGAGGUAAAGAGCUCAAGCAUUUCAUAUUCCUUUGGAUGUCUCUGGCCAAGCCCCUUUAAAGAUGGGUAAGAGGCAGAAA
rnacentral:lncRNA from 1 species